CGGCGGACGGGUGAGUAACGCGUGGGUAACCUGCCUCAUACAGGGGGAUAACAGUUGGAAACGGCUGCUAAUACCGCAUAAGCGCACAGUACCGCAUGGUACGGUGUGAAAAACUCCGGUGGUAUGAGAUGGACCCGCGUCUGAUUAGGUAGUUGGUGGGGUAACGGCCUACCAAGGCGACGAUCCAUAGCCGGCCUGAGAGGGUGAACGGCCACAUUGGGACUGAGACACGGCCAA
rnacentral:rRNA from 1 species